CUACGGGCGGCAGCAGUGAGGAAUAUUGGUCAAUGGGCGAGAGCCUGAACCAGCCAAGUCGCGUGAAGGAAGAAGGAUCUAUGGUUCGUAAACUUCUUUUGCAGGGGAAUAAAGUGCAGGACGUGUCCUGUUUUGUAUGUACCCUGAGAAUAAGGAUCGGCUAACUCCGUGCCAGCAGCCGCGGUAAUACGGAGGAUCCGAGCGUUAUCCGGAUUUAUUGGGUUUAAAGGGUGCGUAGGUGGUUUAAUAAGUCAGCGGUGAAAGUUUGCAGCUUAACUGUAAAAAUGCCGUUGAAACUGUUAGACUUGAGUGUAAAUGAGGUAGGCGGAAUGCGUGGUGUAGCGGUGAAAUGCUUAGAUAUCACGCAGAACUCCGAUUGCGAAGGCAGCUUACCAAGCUACAACUGACACUGAAGCACGAAAGCGUGGGGAUCAAACAGGAUUAGAUACCCCGGUAGUC
rnacentral:rRNA from 1 species